CUCACGGAACCGUGUGGGUGACUGCCCUGUGCAGCCGAGUCAGAAGUCCCAGGCCCGCCCCAGAUCUCCAGCUGCUGCUGUGUGGGCUUUCAGUCUGACCACAUCGCUAGUCUCAACCCAAGCUUCGUCUGUGGGAGGAUGGGGCUUAGAUCUCGACUGCAGGAACCCUCACCAGGGCCUAUUUAAUGCAAAGACUCAGUGGAUUCUUGUGCACCACAUGGGAUGUGGAGCUGGUGUAGGACUGUCCUUUCAUGAGAUGCGGUUCAGAUCCACUCUUGGGAACAAACUCCUCUAAGUGGAGACGAAGCUUAGAAGGAACGCGCGACCUUGGAGAGUAUGUCAAGUUCUCAUCCUUGUCCACCAGGGGGCGCGCAAAUCCCAGGAGGAGCUGCCCUCCAAGAGCCCUUAGGUGGCUUUGAUCCCCGGGAGGAGGAUGGACGCGGGGGCUGCAGGUGGGCUGCAGGUUCCAGAACCGACUCUGGGUAGUGUUCCCUGAGAGGCCCCGCCGGAUCAGUGCAGCCAGCGGCUGGGAUUCGGGGCGAGGGUCCCUGGUUCUCCUACGACAACGCCUGCGGUGCAGAUGGGUGACUCCCCUUUCUGUGUCUCUCGGUUCCAGGUGUCAUCUUCCUGCAGAGACCCUGAGCACCCACCCCUGCACCAGUCAGCCAUGGGCAGGGGUCUUGUGUCACCUAACGCAGUGGUGGCUGCUGAGUCGCACCCCAGAGAAGCGGACUCCAGUUCCCUUAUUCUGAUCUCUCCUCCAACAAGGACCACUUGCGCUGUCCGUUUGCACUGUGGCAUCAACUCCUGAGGCUGGAUCUGGCCACACACGGCGGAGGACACCACCCUCCAGUUCUGGACUCCAUGCUUCUGUUAUUCUGACCUAAGAUGGCAAGCUUUUUUGGAUUCGCAUUACUCUUCACCACUGAUGUUAAGUUACCUCACCUCCAUGUCCUACUCCAUUCUGUCUGGUGACUUAAAUGCCAGGUUUUAUCCCCAGGAUUUUCAUUUGUGACAUCUGAGGAAGCACGGAUUUCCUUCACUUGGCCCCCCUCACAUCUCCUUGACAGUGGAACCACCCCGUAUGCGAUCAGGAAAACGUCCUGUUGAGCCAACCGGCUACCUGAAGACCAUCAGGGAAGACAGCGCUGAAGCUCCGUGUCUCCACCAUCCUAGCAAUCAAAUGGGCACCAUCCUAAGCUGGGGAAUCUGCUGUGUCAGCUCCUCAGAGUCCAGGUGUAGGGCCAGCGCCUGGCAUUACGCUUUGUGUUGCUGAGGCCUCCAUUUCAGCGGCCUCCAACUUGAGUAACCAUACCGCCACUUGAGUACAACCAGCAGGCUCCCCAAGAUCACCCUGAGCCAGCAGUGCCUGCCCCCAGGACAUCCUCCUUGUCUGUGCUCCGCCAGACUGAGCCGUCCGGUUGCCGCCCCUUUUCCUGCUUUCAUGUGUCUCAUCUGAGUUUUCUCCUCCUGACCUGUCUAUGAAAUCAAGACCCAAGACAUCUUCCACCCUGUCCCAUGCUCCCUAUGAAAUUGUGACCAGAUCCCAGGCGCUAUAUCUGGAGCACAGCUGCCAAAUCCACUGCAAUUCAAACAGGAAUGCUGGGGGACACCCGGAGAGGUGGUGGGCGCCAGAGUCAGCAGAGCCAAGCUUGGCUCCUACAAGAGGUUGAGAGGGGAUGUGCUCAGACUCCCCCCAUUCGUAGGAGGCAGUCUGCUGGUGAGGCAGGCAUUUCGGCAUGGCAUCAUGAGCAGCCCUGCUGUGGCAGGUACCUGAUGGCUUAAGAGAGGCGAAGCCUAAACUCCUCACCACCCACAUAACCUUGGAGCUUGAACUGUACUGGAACCCAGAAAGAAUUCCUGCUGGCCCCAUGUGCCAGAUAUGGAUCGCUGGGCAACACAUCGUCCCCCAGUGUAGUGGUUACAACUAUUUAUCUGCUAAAGGUUCUGGGGUUAGCAGAGUGUGCUAGGUUCGCCUGGCACCCCUUGGUGGCCUCACUUGGGGUCACUCUCGUGAGGCAGAACUCGUCCUGUUGUUUGGCUGGGGCGGGUCCAAAAUGCCCUUCCUCGUGUGUCUGGCAGUUGGAACUGGAAAAAGAAAUUCCACUUGCCUCGAACUUUCUCCAUAAUGAUUUGCAAGGCCAGAAGUCAGUAGAGCAAUGUCUUCCAAGUUUUAAUUAGAAAAAAAAAGUGACCUAAAAAUAAGACUAUGGAAAAAUGUUUUUAAAUGUAU